GCCCCCGUAGGCCAGCAAGGUAGACCACCGGCCUGCAGAGCCGGUUGUCGCAGGUUCGAGUCCUGCCGGGGGCU
rnacentral:tRNA from 4 species